UGACCAGUUACUUGGAUAACUGCGGUAAUUCCGGAGCUAAUACCUGCAUCAAAGCCCCGACUCACGGAGGGGUGCUUUUAUUAGAUCAAAACCAAACGACUUUAGUCGUAGCAUUGGUGAUCCUGAAUAACUUUUAGCGGAUCGCACGGCUUCUUGCUGGCGACGCGUCCUUCCAAGGUGUGCCCUAUCAACUUUUGACUGUGGCUUAGAAGCCCACAGUGGUUUUGACGGGUAACGGGGAAUCAGGGUUCUAUUCCGGAGAGGGAGCCUGAGAAACGGCUACCACUUCUACGGAAGGCAGCAGGCACGCAAAUUACCCAGUGGUCGUUUGACCGAGGUAGUGACGAAAAAUAACGAUACCGGUCUCAUUUGAGGCCCGGUAAUCGGAAUGUGUACACUUUAAAUCCUUUAACGAGGAACAAUUGGAGGGCAAGUCUGGUGCCAGCAGCCGCGGUAAUUCCAGCUCCAAUAGCGUAUAUUAAAGUUGUUGCGGUUAAAAAGCUCGUAGUUGGAUCUCGGCGCUCGGGAGGCGGUACGCCGAUUCGGCGUCACUGCCUCAUCGGAGCGUGUACUUGUUGACAGAGGCGGCAGGGUGCUCUUCAUCGGGUGGCCUGGACGCGCUGUCAGGUUUACUUUGAAAAAAUUAGAGUGCUCAAAGCAGGCCUUGAUUGCGCCUUGAAUAUUCGUGCAUGGAAUAAUGGAAUAGGAGCUCGUUUCUAUUUUGUUGGUUUUCUGAAAUAGAGCUAAUGAUUAAGAGGGACAGCCGGGGGCAUUCGUAUUCAGGCGACAGAGGUGAAAUUCUUGGACCGUCUGAAGACGAACAACUGCGAAAGCAUUUGCCAAGAGUGUUUUCAUUAAUCAAGAACGAAAGUUAGAGGUUCGAAGGCGAUCAGAUACCGCCCUAGUUCUAACCAUAAACGAUGCCAGCUAGCGAUCCGCGGUCGUUUUUCAUCUAGGCGCCGCGGGAAGCUUCCGGGAAACCAAAGCUUUUGGGUUCCGGGGGAAGUAUGGUUGCAAAGCUGAAACUUAAAGGAAUUGACGGAAGGGCACCACCAGGAGUGGAGCCUGCGGCUUAAUUUGACUCAACACGGGAAAUCUCACCAGGCCCGGACACUGGCAGGAUUGACAGAUUGAGAGCUCUUUCUCGAUUCGGUGGGUGGUGGUGCAUGGCCGUUCUUAGUUGGUGGAGUGAUUUGUCUGGUUAAUUCCGAUAACGAACGAGACUCUGUCCUGCUAACUAGUUGUGCACGUCCCUUUAUGGUGCGUGCCAAGCUAUCUUCUUAGAGGGACUGGCGGCGUCUAGCCGCACGAGAUUGAGCAAUAACAGGUCUGUGAUGCCCUUAGAUGUUCUGGGCCGCAGGCGCGCUACACUGAAGGACUCAACGUGUGUUCCCAUCCCGAGAGGGCCGGGUAAC
rnacentral:rRNA from 1 species